AUUGAACGCUGGCGGCAGGCUUAACACAUGCAAGUCGAGCGGUAGCACAGAGAGCUUGCUCUUGGGUGACAAGCGGCGGACGGGUGAGUAACGCGUAGGAAUCUACCUAGUAGUGGGGGACAACAGUUGGAAACGACUGCUAAUACCGCAUACGCCCUAAGGGGGAAAGCGGGGGAUCUUCGGACCUCGUGCUAUUAGAUGAGCCUGCGUGAGAUUAGCUAGUUGGUGAGGUAAAGGCUCACCAAGGCGACGAUCUCUAGCUGGUCUGAGAGGAUGAUCAGCCACACUGGGACUGAGACACGGCCCAGACUCCUNACGGGAGGCAGCAGUGGGGAAUAUUGGACAAUGGGCGCAAGCCUGAUCCAGCCAUGCCGCGUGUGUGAAGAAGGCCUUCGGGUUGUAAAGCACUUUCAGAAGGGAGGAAAGGUUGUGUGUUAAUAGCACAUAGCUGUGACGUACCUUCAGAAGAAGCACCG
rnacentral:rRNA from 1 species